UACGGGGGGGGCAAGCGUUGUUCGGAAUUACUGGGCGUAAAGGGUUCGUAGGUGGCCAACUCAGUCAGACGUGAAAUCCCUCAGUUCAACUGGGGAACUGCGUCUGAUACUAGAUGGCUCGAGUGCAGGAGAGGAACGCGGAAUUCCAGGUGUAGCGGUGAAAUGCGUAGAUAUCUGGAGGAACACCGGUGGCGAAGGCGGCGUUCUGGACUGCAACUGACACUGAGGAACGAAAGCCAGGGGAGCAAACGGG
rnacentral:rRNA from 1 species